AUGCAGGAGACCCAGGUUCGAUCCUUGGGUUGGAAAGAUCCCUUGGAGAAGGGAAUGGCAACUCAUUCCAAUAUUCCUGCCUGGAGAAUUCCAUGGACAGAGGAGCUUGGUGGGCUACAGUCCAUGGGGUCACAAAGAGUUGGACAUGACUGAGUGACUUCACUUUCACUUUUCACUUUCAUGCAUUGGAGAAGGAAAUGGCAACCCACUCCAGUGUUCUUGCCUGGAGAAUCCCAGGGAUGGGGAAGCCUGGUGGGCUGCCGUCUAUGGGGUCACACAGAGUCGGACACGACUGAAGCGACUUAGCAGCAGCAGCGGCGGCGGCAUUGGUAAAGAAUUGCUAUGAUUCCCAACUUGAUAGAAAAAGUGUAUAUGUUUAGACAUAGAAAUUGGGGGAGAAAAGAAUUAGGGGAUAUAAUAAUAAAAAUAUAGCCAUCAGAUUAGAGGAACGGCUUUCAAAAGCCUAUAACAAAGAGCAAUUUACAGCCCCACUUAUGAAGAAUAGUCAGAAUGAAGCACAGGACUUCUCUUCCUGCUGUCACCUGAAUGUCCAUGGUAAAUAAGAAAGAAUGAGUAAAUAUAAGUAAAGCCCUUAAAAAAAAUGCUUGUAACAGUAUCAGUGCCAUAUGAAAGUUCAAGGAAUAAAUCUGGAAGGAACACAGAAACUCAGCAAUGGUUCCUUCUGGAAACAGAACCUGGAAAACUGCAGAACAGGGAGUGAAGAAAAUCCAGAUACUAAUGUGCAUUCUGUUCCUCUUUUUGAAUUUUGUACAAGUGUGUCAUUCUUGUUCUUACUAUAAAAUUUAUUUUAAAAAAUGAACACCCCAUAACAGUAGCAUUAGAUACCCACUUUAUUUGGCUCAUGGUCACAGGGUGAGGAACUCAGACAGAGCACAUCUGCUCUAUGGUGGCAGGGCCUCAGCAGAGAAGACUCAUGGACUGGGGCUGACUCCACAUCCAGGGACUGGAAUCCUCUGGGUGACUUUACUCCCACGUCUUCAGUUGAAGCUGGGUU
rnacentral:lncRNA from 1 species